UACAGAGGGGGCAAGCGUUGUUCGGAAUUACUGGGCGUAAAGGGCUCGUAGGUGGCCAACUAAGUCAGACGUGAAAUCCCUCGGCUUAACCGGGGAACUGCGUCUGAUACUGGAUGGCUUGAGUUUGGGAGAGGGACGCGGAAUUCCAGGUGUAGCGGUGAAAUGCGCAGAUAUCAGGAGGAACACCGGUGGCGAAGGCGGGUCUCUGGGCCGAUAUUGACGCUGAGGAGCGAAAGCGUGGGGAGCGAACAGG
rnacentral:rRNA from 1 species